rnacentral:tRNA from 5 species
GGGGCUUUAGCAUAACGGUAAUGCAUAUGACUUUUAAUCAUUCCGAUUUGAGUUCGAAUCUCAAAGGCCCUA